rnacentral:lncRNA from 1 species
UCUGAAGAAUCAGGAUAAUUGUCCUAGAGUAAAUCAGUGUGUUUCUAUUACAGGUUUAAAGGCCUUGGGUAUAGUGAGUCCAAUGGAAACAUUGGUUGGGCUUGUUGUGAUCUGCUUACACCAGCCUGUGGCAACGGUAAUAAUGGAUUUUGAGCCAAGGAAACAUUAAGUGUCUGUAGAAUUGAGAAGGCAGUUUAACACACUGAUCAUAUCUCCAGUAAUUGGAAUCUGAAAUAAGCUGUUGUAAAAGGAUGCAUUCCAACUGCCAUCUGACAAUUCACAUGCUGGUUUGUCCCAGGCAUUACAAGGUAAGAGGACAUUGUGACUGAUUUAAUCAUGUGUUGUCCUGGGAGGCCCUUCC